UACGUAGGGUGCGAGCGUUGUCCGGAUUUAUUGGGCGUAAAGGGCUCGUAGGCGGCCUGUCGCGUCGGGAGUGAAAGCCCACUGCUUAACGGUGGGUCUGCUUCCGGUACGGGCGGGCUGGAGUAUGGCAGGGGAGACUGGAAUUCCUGGUGUAGCGGUGGAAUGCGCAGAUAUCAAGAGGAACACCUGAGGUGAAGACGGGUUGCUGGGCUGAUACUGACGCUGAGGCGCGAAAGCUAGGGUAGCAAACGGG
rnacentral:rRNA from 1 species